GUGAGGAAUUUUGCGCAAUGGCCGCAAGGCUGACGCAGCAACGCCGCGUGGGUGAUGAAGGCCUUCGGGUCGUAAAGCCCUGUCAGGUGGGAAGAAAGGCUUGGAGAAGCAACGCUUUGAGUUUGACGGUACCACCAGAGGAAGCACCGGCUAACUCCGUGCCAGCAGCCGCGGUAAUACGGAGGGUGCGAGCGUUAUUCGGAAUUACUGGGCGUAAAGCGCGUGUAGGCGGGGAUGCAAGUCUGAUGUGAAAGCCCUGGGCUUAACCUGGGAAGUGCAUUGGAAACUGCAUUUCUUGAGUACUGGAGAGGAAGGGGGAAUUCCCGGUGUAGAGGUGAAAUUCGUAGAGAUCGGGAGGAAUACCAGUGGCGUAGGCGCCCUUCUGGACGGUAACUGACGCUGAGACGCGAAAGCGUGGGGAGCAAACAGGAUUAGAAACCCGUGUAGUCC
rnacentral:rRNA from 1 species